GCCAUACUACGACCCAACGCCCUGUAAAGUAAACGAUGACCCAUACUGAACUUCGCGUUAAAAUACGUAUCAAAUUGAAAAAUUGCUGCUGACCUGGAACUUUGUUUCCGGGUCAGUUUUCUU
rnacentral:sRNA from 1 species